ACAUUCGUCCACUAGCUGGCGAACCGCGCACACCGUUCCGCAUGCUACCGACGCCCCUGCACGCGCGCGCGCAUUGAUAGGUGGACUCGUGGGGGUGGCUUCGCGGAGAACGUUAACCCUCUUUUACUACCGAGGGAGGUAAUGAAAUUACCCCCGAGCAAGAGGUAACGCUGAAUGAUCUCGUCGAGGAACUUGAAGGCACGAAGGCGAAACGCCAAUUCAACACGCCAUUAUGAUUCGCGAACAGCAAAGGACGACUGGGAUUUCGGAGCGCAUUAAUUUUCCACCCCUGCGCAGGAUCGCUACUUUACCCUACAUAGAACGGUUCUGCCGACCAAUGACGUCACUCGAGUGCCCUCGAAGGACACUCCCACUUUCUACCCCCGUAAAAGUCCUUGUGAUGCUGUCGAUGCUUAUCGCCGAUGCGUUACGCAGGGGUGACGAUUAUUCGGGGUUUCUAUGGACGUCGCUAAUUGAGAGAAAACGAGGGAUGCUGUACAACGGACGUUCUAGAAAUUGGACGCAGUCAAAGGCUAUGGGGAGAACAACACAGAUUUUCCAAAAUCAAACGAAAUCAGAAUUCUCGGAAUUGUCGAAAUAGAUUUCUCUUUUAUGUAAUGUUUCGCAGCGGAAAUGAUCGUAAUCACAUUACAUAACAAAUAACAAAUUUUAAUAGAGUAUUACGUUGAUGGUCCGUCAAGCGAAUAGAAAGUUGCGUUUUCAGUUAACUUUUCUAUAAAGAAAAGCGAAAAAGCGCGCGCGCGUAUUAGAAAAAAAGCUGCAUUCAAGUUUUCCUUCCUCAUACUAGUGUUAUUAUUAUUCCCGUUACGUUUCUGAUACAUCGCGACAUUAAUAUCCCUUCCAAUUUUUAGAUUGACGUUUCCGAGCUAUUUACAUCGUGCGGGUAGCUUGUAACGGGGAUUAAGGAUGAUUAAAGCUGAAAAGAGUCAUGAACGAAAAUGGGCCUGAUUCACGUGAUUAUACCAGUCCGCCGUGUGAACGUUCUUCGUGCCUUUUGAUUUCUUAACGCGCUCAUUUAUCACAAUUAUCGUUCCGUUGCUAUUUAUAUUCCUACAUAUUUCUCCGCAGUGUGCCAGUUGCAUGUUACCAGUGUUACGCGCCCCAUAGAUUUAUGGAAAUUCCUUUAUUAAUAGAAAACUGCGUUACAUUGCUUCUUCAUUUAUUAAACGAAUUAUUAUUCCAUUUUACAACUUAUCUAAUAACAGUUAUUAUGCAAAUUAUUCUCAUUACAUUGCGAGAGUAAUAAAUUUCGAUCAUUAAAGUGUUGCAAUUUGUUAUUAUUACAAUUCUUUAUUAAAAUUAUCAAUUAAAUUUCAUGAUGAAAUUA